UACGUAGGUGGCAAGCGUUAUCCGGAUUUACUGGGUGUAAAGGGAGCGUAGACGGCCAGACAAGUCUGAAGUGAAAAUCCAGCGCUUAACGUUGGAAGUGCUUUGGAAACUGCCGGGCUGGAGUGCAGGAGGGGCAGGCGGAAUUCCUAGUGUAGGGGUGAAAUGCGUAGAUAUUAGGAGGAACACCAGUGGCGAAGGCGGCCUGCUGGACUGCAACUGACGUUGAGGCUCGAAGGCGUGGGGAGCAAACAGG
rnacentral:rRNA from 1 species